rnacentral:lncRNA from 1 species
GAGAGCCUACCUGAGGGGCGGACUCUUUAGAUACUAGAAGGACCUUUGGCAGAUAAGGAAUUAGAGAUGAGUGGAUGUUUACAGCAAUAGGCUCCGUAUCUGAUUUAUGCCUUACUAAUAAAGGGCAUUCAUUACUUCCAGAUUCUUUAGGGCCCUCAUCCGAUUUUGCCUUUUUCGUUGUGUUCCUUGCUACAGUGUUACGUGACAGAGUAGCAGUAGCCUUCAC